rnacentral:rRNA from 1 species
UACGUAGGGGGCUAGCGUUGUUCGGAAUUACUGGGCGUAAAGGGCGCGUAGGCGGCCAUUCAAGUCAGGUGUGAAAGCCCUGGGCUCAACCUAGGAAUUGCACUUGAUACUGUUUGGCUUGAGUCCGGGAGAGGUGAGUGGAAUUCCCAGUGUAGAGGUGAAAUUCGUAGAUAUCGGGAGGAACACCGGUGGCGAAGGCGGUUCUCUGGGCCUUGCCUGACGCUGAGGAGCGAAAGCGUGGGGAGCGAACAGG